rnacentral:rRNA from 1 species
AUUGAACGCUGGCGGCAGGCCUAACACAUGCAAGUCGAACGCGUGGCAGACGGGUGAGUAAUCUCUGGAAAACUGCCUGGGGGGGGGGUAUAACUACUGAAAGGUAUCGCUAAUACCGCAUUCCCUCAUGUGUGCCCAUGGGGGAUUCGCUUGGUGGUGGGGUAACGGCUCACCAAGGCGACGAUCCCUAGCUGGUCUGAGAGGAGGACCAGCCACACUGGAACUGAGACACGGUCCAGACUCCUACGGGAGGCAGCAGUGGGGAAUAUUGCACAAUGGGCGCAAGCCUGAUGCAGCCAUGCCGCGUGUAUGAAGAAGGCCUUCGGGUUGUAAAGUACUUUCAGCGGGGAGGCGUUACCCGCAGAAGAAGCACCGGCUAACUCCGUGCCAGCAGCCGCGGUAAUUC